AUUAAGUUUUCCCUCUUCUCCUUCCUACCCUUCUUUCUUUUUCUGUAUUUCUAAGGAAGAAGAAAGGAGUUCACCAGUCAAAGAGAAUGAGGCUACUCACAGAGCAGUCAGUGAACUAGCUCAGUGAUGCUUUUCAAAUGGAAGGCUUCUUCAGGACAGAUCUGCUGACCACAAAAUCUGAGACAGUAAUUUCUGAGCUUAGCAACGAUAUUUGAAAGAAAUGGGACAAUGAGAGCACCAAAGAAGCCUGAACCAGCCUGCAGUUGGGAGAGAUGACAGCUCAAGACACUAUUUUAUUCUUCUAGCAUAAAUAAGCCAGAACUAUAAGAAGUAAGCAUCAUGCGGUACACAUUGAAUCCAUUAAUUCAUUCAGUCCCUCAACAAAUAUUAUUGAACAGCCAUUAUAUGCCAGGAACCACUGUAUGUGGUGAGGAGACAGCAGUGACAGAGCAAAGGGAUAUCCCUGCUUCAUGGAGCUUGGGAGAAAAACAGAAGCUACUUGUUAGUAUCUGCUUGUAGAACUUUGUACAGUACUGAGAACACAGUAGGAGCCAAAUAAAUACUGAUGAUUUAAUUAAUGA